rnacentral:rRNA from 1 species
ACGCUGGCGGCAGGCCUAACACAUGCAAGUCGAGCGGUAGCACAGAGAGCUUGCUCUCGGGUGACGAGCGGCGGACGGGUGAGUAAUGUCUGGGAAACUGCCUGAUGGAGGGGGAUAACUACUGGAAACGGUAGCUAAUACCGCAUAACGUCUUCGGACCAAAGUGGGGGACCUUCGGGCCUCAUGCCAUCAGAUGUGCCCAGAUGGGAUUAGCUAGCAGGUGAGGUAAUGGCUCACCUGGGCGACGAUCCCUAGCUGGUCUGAGAGGAUGACCAGCCACACUGGAACUGAGACACGGUCCAGACUCCUACGGGAGGCAGCAGUGGGGAAUAUUGCACAAUGGGCGCAAGCCUGAUGCAGCCAUGCCGCGUGUAUGAAGAAGGCCUUCGGGUUGUAAAGUACUUUCAGCGGGGAGGAAGGCAAUAAGGUUAAUAACCUUGUUGAUUGACGUUACCCGCAGAAGAAGCACCGGCUAACUCCGUGCCAGCAGCCGCGGUAAUACGGAGGGUGCAAGCGUUAAUCGGAAUUACUGGGCGUAAAGCGCACGCAGGCGGUCUGUCAAGUCGGAUGUGAAAUCCCCGGGCUCAACCUGGGAACUGCAUUCGAAACUGGCAGGCUAGAGUCUUGUAGAGGGGGGUAGAAUUCCAGGUGUAGCGGUGAAAUGCGUAGAGAUCUGGAGGAAUACCGGUGGCGAAGGCGGCCCCCUGGACAAAGACUGACGCUCAGGUGCGAAAGCGUGGGGAGCAAACAG